CUAGGCCCAGGAGCGGGGAUAAGGCGGGGGUGGGUCUUGGGUAGGCGGGCAGGAGAGUGGGAGAAAAUCAGCUCCAGGGACGUGGAUGAAGACGGGGCUUUCCGUGGACUCUCCAGGCUGUACAGGCAUUCCUGGAGGUGUCUAUAGAAGGUGAGGGUUCCAGGGAAGAAGAGAGGUGCAUCUACCUCUAGAAGAACGUCUGUAGUUAUGUUCACCACUGCUCCAGAAGAAUUAAUGGAAUGGGAUAACAGCCAGAAAAGAGGACAUGAAAUGGUUUGUUCGGAAAAAUCUGUCCUGAAUGACAAGGUGAAAUGUCCUGGACCACAGCGCUGCCUUCCGGGCCCUGACCCAGCACCCCAGCACCAAUCCGCGGGAGGAAAAAGAUACCUCUCUUCUGCUCCGAGAUGAAAGAAGAACAGCCUCCGGCGUCUGCCCAACCUCCGAGGCCCUGCCCCUUACGCUGUGCGAGGAGCCUGGAAGUGCGCGUGCGCGUGCGCGUUUGGAUCUGCGCGUGCGCAAGGCGGCGGCUGUCUUUGCUGUGCGGUCCGGCGCGGGUCUGAGAGAGAUGGCUAAUGAAUGAUGCUUGAUGACAGAUGAGAAAUGCCUCCUGCAUAAAGAUUGAUGGUAUGAGGGCACCAGCUAUGCAGACCUGGUCUGAUCUUUCAGGUGGAACAAAGAGGAAAGCUGAAGAAAAUGGAAGAGUUUUCCAAAUUGGGAGAUUUGUCUUAAUGCCAAAUGGUCAGCACCUCAGUGGAAUAUUUUGGAUGGGAAAAAAUCCAGUGUGGUGGAAAUGCCUGGGAUUUAUUGUGCUUCCUGGAUCCAAAGGUCUGCAUGCUCCAGUCCAGGAGCCUGGCCAGGAGGGAGACACAAGAGGAAGAAUGGCUGCAGGAUUGCUGACAACCUGGUCACAGGACUCGGUGACCUUCGAGGAAGUGGCAGUGGACUUUUCACAGGAGGAGUGGGCACUGCUGGACCCUGCUCAGAAAAUCCUGUACAGAGACGUGAUGCUGGAGAACUUUAGGAACCUAGCCUCAGUGGGGUAUCAUCUCUGCAAACACAGUCUGUUCACUGAGGUGGAGCAGGAAGAGCUGAGACCAGAGCAGAGAAGAAUUCUCCAAGGUGCUUAUAGAGACCAGGAUACUCAACUUAAAUCAAAAGACGCAAUUCUUACACAGAAUGUUCCUGGGGAAAAAACUUCCAAUGGCAUAAAAACGGCAGCAACUCACCCUGGUGAGAAACCAAUGGAAUUUAAUCAUUGUGGAAAAUUCUUUAGAAAGAACUGUCACCUUAUUUGUCCAAGAUAUUGCAAGAGAGAGAAAUGCAACAAAUAUAAAGAAUAUGGGCAAGACUCUGGCCAUCCCUCAACUCUUAGGAGUCAUGUGUUCUAAGGACACUUUCGCCUUCCUGAGGAAAAGAUAGAUGCAGAAAGGAUAAUGGCUGAGUGUUUGAGAAGUUGUUCUCGGGACUCAGUGACCUUCGCUGAUGUAGCUGUGGACUUCACCCAGGAAGAAUGGACUUUACUGGACCCCAUUCAGAGAAAGCUAUACAGAGGUGUGAUGCUGGAGAACUACAAGAACCUGACCACAGCAGGGUAUCAAUCAUUGAAACCCACUCUGAUCUCUUGGUUGGAACAAGAGAUGAUUUGAGGACAGCAGAAAGAAAAGGAGUCCUCCAAGGUCUUUGGCUGUUCUCCCACUACAAAGGCAGAGCUGAGUAAUUCCGUACCUUACAGCCCACAAAGCAUCAAGAACUUACUAUCUGGACCUGUUCAUACCAAAAGCUUGCCAACCUCUCCUCUGAACCCAUUUACUAACUGACAGGAAAUACAAGACAUGAAGGAAAACUUAAACAUACUGUGAAAAUAGAAGCAGGAAUAUCAAAAUGUGUGACUUUCUAAAAGAAGGCAUGUGAUUCGUCAAAGAGUCAAUAUAAUUAAUAUAAUAGACAAACAACAGCAAGUGAUCUAGGUUAAAACAGACUAAAAGGCAUAAACAAUUGUCAUAUAUAAACCCUGAUUGGGUUGUAGAUCUCAAAACUACCCAAAACAUAUUUUGGAACAACGUAGAGAAGUUAACCUUUUAGAGUAGAUAUUAGAAUACAUUGUUAUUUUUACUUUCCUUGUGUGAAAUAAUGAUAUUAUGAUUUUACUAGGAUAAUGCCCAUAUCUUUAGGAGAAGCCUUACCAAGUUCUUAAAAGUCAAGUAGCAUGUAUGCAAUUUAUUUUCAACUUACACUCAAACACUUCACUAUACAAUGUAUUCGUAAAUCUACGAGAGAACAAAUCUGCACAGUGCUAAAAAUAAGUGAACCUACUACAACAAACAUUCAUUGUACUGGAUGUUAACAUUUUCUUGAGGUUUAAGAUGUUACCAAAAAAAAAAAGUGAGUAAAACACACUUAGUCCAAACUACACUCCUACCAGGACGAGAAGAAGACAUCAGAAGUAGACAGCUAGCCCAAGAUACUGGCCCUGACUCGUAUGAUCAUUUAUAAUGUUUUCUUGACUUCUUGAACCAUUGCAUAUGAAUCAAAUGUUUUCCUAUCAUGGGCAUGAUCCUAUGCUAGUCUUAAAAAUCAAUCCAAUUGUUGGGUUUGUGACCAAUUAUCUUUGUCUAGUACUUCUGGAUUACCUUGGUGGAUUUCUCCACUCCAAGGCUCUAAUUGGUUGGCCCUUAGGAAAUGUAUUCUAAAAGAAAGAAAUUAUAGUCCUGUUCAAGCCACUAUCGGUAUACUAGGUGGGAUCCUCUCACCUAGCCAAUUAAUAAUACCUGCUCUGACACUGGUCAUAAAAAUGAAUUUUCCUCUAAAGUUACUCAAGCUCAGUUAGAGCAACAAGCAAAAUUUCAGCCAAGGAAUAAAACCUCUCACAAUUAUGGUAUGGAUUUAUGUGGUUAACACCAGGCUAUGGUCAUUGAAGUUUUAAGACCCUCCUUUAUCUUGGGAACAAUUAAAUGAUACUAAGGAUAACCAGCCUAGUAACACCAGGAAGUUGGGCUGGGAGCCUUAUGGACAGUGCCAACACAUAAUUUCCCUGAAAGAUAAGGAUUGGUACAGAACAGACUAAGUCAGAUGACCUGGGAAUAUACUGGGCCGCACCUAAUGGAAGUUCUUGGCUUAAUUCUUACUUAUGACUUUAAUAAUACUGCUAGCUAUGUUAUUUGUAUUUUGCCUGUUUAACAGGAUUACUUUUUCUUGUAUUUCCAAAUGUGUGACUGAGCCUCCAACAAAAAUAAUGAUGACUAGGCAACUUGAAGCAGUUGAUCAAGUAUAUAAUUCUGUAUGGGAUCAAUGAUUGUAAUAGUGUAACUCUAGAUAUGGGAAGAUACAAUAAGAGAGAAUUUUUUUUUCUUGGAACAGACUAGUAAGACAGGUGAUCCAGAGACCUUUGACUAUUGUUAAUAAGACCUAGUCCAGUAAUAGCACAUUGAGUGGCCUAUCAGCAAAAUCUUUGCCAAACUUAGGAAUGAGCCUACCUAGCACCGUGGGACAAAAUGGUCAUGAAAUGCCUCCCAAAGCAUGGUCGAAUUUAUGACCAUGAGGGGACCCUGUCAACUACAAAUUGGCACUUGCCACCUACCUCUACAAGGAUUAAAUCAUGAACUGCUGCAGCUGCUGACUUUCAACACCCCCUGAAAUGAGGCACUCUGUGCUCUGGGAAAAACUGGCAGAACAGGUCUUCAGAUAGUUAGAUAUUUUCAGGAACCGAUUUUAUGAGCCCAGUUCUUAUACCUCCUCAUAUCUAGAAAAGCACUAAAAUCUUUCAUAGUGACUCUGCUCCUCGUGACUAGCAGUAACCUUCACAAGAUUAGCAGAAACCUUCUGCAAAAAAAUAUGUGCUUGAUUGCAUGUACUCCCCCUAUACCAAAAUCACAUAUAUACUAACCUUCCCCCCCUACCUCUUUGGAGCAGUUACUCAGAGCUAUCUGAGAUGCUGUCUCUCGGGCCCCAAAUAAAACUUAACUCACAACUCUCACGUUGUGCAUUUUUUUUAAGUUGGCACAUGUAAAAUGCUAAAAAUAAGUGAAUCUACUACAAAGAACAUUCCUUGUACUGGAUGUUCACAUUUUCUUGAGGUUUAAGAUUUUACAAAUAUAUAUAUAUAUGCGGAAAAAACACGCUUAGUACGAACACCCUGUCUAUGGUUCCUCAUUCUGGAACUAGUAUCAUAAAGCCUACGCCACAUCUCCUGGAGGCUCGUUUUCACUCUGUGGGCAUGUACAGCCACAGGAAGCUCAGAUGACGAGAAGACUAAGUACUCUUGCUUUUUAU